AUUGAACGCUGGCGGCAGGCCUAACACAUGCCAGUCGAGCGGAUGAAGGGAGCUUGCUCCUGGAUUCAGCGGCGGACGGGUGAGUAAUGCCUAGGAAUCUGCCUGGUAGUGGGGGAUAACGUCCGGAAACGGGCGCUAAUACCGCAUACGUCCUGAGGGAGAAAGUGGGGGAUCUUCGGACCUCACGCUAUCAGAUGAGCCUAGGUCGGAUUAGCUAGUUGGUGGGGUAAAGGCCUACCAAGGCGACGAUCCGUAACUGGUCUGAGAGGAUGAUCAGUCACACUGGAACUGAGACACGGUCCAGACUCCUACGGGAGGCAGCAGUGGGGAAUAUUGGACAAUGGGCGAAAGCCUGAUCCAGCCAUGCCGCGUGUGUGAAGAAGGGCUUCGGAUUGUAAAGCACUUUAAGUUGGGAGGAAGGGCAGUAAGUUAAUACCUUGCUGUUUUGACGUUACCAACAGAAUAAGCACCGGCUAACUUCGUGC
rnacentral:rRNA from 1 species